rnacentral:lncRNA from 13 species
ACUGACAGCAAGGACAAGUUUGACAGGGAGAAGAAAGACACCAAGGACCUCAUUAAGAGGGUCAAAGACUACCUCACAGACCUCCAGAGAUGCUGGAGGAGAUUGAGGCUCUGAAGAAGAAGACAGAGAUGAACAGAGAGCAGGCGGAGCAGGCCAAAGCGGAUGUUAUCACAUCCCUGGGUAGCUCUACUAUCACAAAGGAGGAGCUCGAAAAGGUGACAGCUCUGUUUGAUAAGCUAAAGGAGGGGAACACAAACCAGGACAGCAAUUAA